UACGUAGGGGGCAAGCGUUGUCCGGAUUUAUUGGGCGUAAAGAGCGUGUAGGCGGCCUGACAGGUCUGCUGUGAAAACUCGAGGCUCAACCUCGAGCUGUCGGCGGAAACCAUCUGGCUAGAGUCCGGAAGAGGAGAAUGGAAUUCCCGGUGUAGCGGUGAAAUGCGCAGAUAUCGGGAAGAACACCCGUGGCGAAGGCGGUUCUCUGGGACGGUACUGACGCUGAGACGCGAAAGCGUGGGGAGCGAACAGG
rnacentral:rRNA from 1 species